GGUUCUCCAGGAUCGCGUCACCCAAUGGGGGUGAGACCUGCCCGUGCACCAUCAGUGUCCAGGCAGAAUGUCCUGACCCAGGUUAGGAGCAGAAGUCAAACUGGGGAGAUGGGGAAUCCCCAGCCCUAGGCUUCCCCACCCCUGACCUCACCGCCUGGAGACUAAGACUUUGGCUGAAUCCUGUGCUGCGGACAGAGCGCUAUUUCUCAUGAUGUCUCCGAGUUCUGACCCACAAGCUGUCAGGACACGAGGAGAGACCCACAGGCCAGACUCUCUGUCUCCUCUCCUCCACCCUUCCUCUUCUUCUCUUCAGAAGUCAGACCCCCGGACUCUUCUAGAAGAAAAGCCACUUCCGGGACUACAAUGAUGACACAAGCAGUUGAGGAUGCAGUGGAGAGAUGCUCCUCCUUAAAGCAGAGGCGCUGGCCUGCAAGCCCCACAUGGACUUUAUAGAGACCAAUCUCUCUUGGCCUGCCAUUGGAGACUCACAUUGCCAAGCCUGAGUGAAGGACUCUCAUCUGUAAAGAGGCGACUUUGCCUCCUCCCUCAGGAUCUGUCGUUUCAGCCUUGGCCAAGACUCAGUUCUUCACACGAAAUGUCUGUGGCUCCAGUUGUUGAGAUCCACUUGUGGUAACACCAGCAUUGAGAGAAACUCUCCAAAGAAUUGCUCCUGAGGUUCCUGCGGCUUCUUGGUUGGUGAGCCUUACAGUUUCUUCAGGAUUGAACUACAGUUGCUGGGUCAAGCAUGGUGUCUGCCCUCCAGCAGGACUGGACUGAAGCUGCUGUUACCUGUGUGGGGUCUGCUGAUCAAGAAGACUGGACUGCAGCUGUUGAUUGGUAUUUGCUGUUUGCUAUGGGACUGAAUGCUGACAAAGAAGAUUGAUCUUGACCCCAAAGAACUAUUGUAAAGCAGGUCCACUUCCCCAUAUCCUAAUAACUUUUCUUUUCCACUACCUCUUCUGGGUGGUGGGCAAAAGGAGAGGUUGAACAUUUAUUAAAGGAGGUUGGAAAAAUUCA